UGAUAAGCCUCACACCCCACAGGGUCCACACACACGUCAACACAGUCCUGGUCGGUGCACAUUUCCCAACCCCCUGGAGCGUAUCUCAACACCCCACUGCAGAGGCCCCCACCUCUCCACCAGUGCCCCCCACAGUUCACCUGGUCCUCACACAGGCCCUGCCCCACAGAGGCGACACCCUCACCUGUCUGUAGAGGAUCAAAGCACCCAGUCAAUGAAGCCGACAAGUAACCUGAGGGCUUGCUGUUGGGCGGGGUGGGUCCCUAGGGCAGGCUGCCUGCCCAGGCUGAACUGGAUUAAAUCUGCACGCUAAUAGGUGUGGCAGCCCUCUGGGCUAACAGGCCAGGGGAAGAACCUCAAUGGUGUCUUCUGGGGUCUGUGUCAGCACGCCUGGACCAGGUCAGAACAAUGGCCCCCACCGAUGUCUCAGUCUCCAGAGAGGACCCUCCUCUCACCAAGAUGCCCCCAGAGCCCACCAGGAAACUCAGCUAGAUUCAAGCUCACGCAGGAAGAGCGCUGAGUGAGAGGCAGCCGGCCACAGGCCCCGUGCUACUUGCAGCAUUUUUACUCGCCUUGUUUCCUCAUCACGGCAAUUUGACGAGGUUGCUUCGGUUCACAUUGUCUAUGGUGAGUGACUGAGAUGACGUCCCUGAGGCCGCCCAGCUGGAAACAGCCACGAGUCAAGCCCAGGCCUGGUUCCAAGUUCAGCUCUUCCUCAUGUGGAAAGAACCGUUUCACCCCAGCUGCUGGGGCACCCGCCCUCUGCUUCUUCACUUGGUGGUGUUUUUAUUUAUGAACAGCCUUAAAGCCUUUUCGUAAGCUAGUUAUAUAUAAAUCACACGAAAAUGAAAUGUUCCCUCAAGAAACAGGUGACCUGGCUGAGUCCACGACGUAACUAGCGCGUACACCUGCAGACCCUCCUGACAGACGCCCAGGGUUUCAGAUCCACACCAGCCGACGCCGUCCACUCGUGUAACCCAGAGUCUGCAGCAGGUCUGCCCAACCCCCCGUGGGUCCCUCAGCGCCCCUGGGGAGAGGGAAGGACUGCAGGGUUUCCAGCCUCUCUUUAGAACACAUUCUUGGCUAAAGAGUUGAGACCAACAAGAGGAGGAUUGUGACCCACAAGCUCUCAGAGUUAGACUUCUGCUUCUCAAAAUCCAACCAUUCCUUCAAGCCUUCCAGCCUACCAACACCACUCCAGGUUCCUCUCAUGUACUGUGUUUUCUCACAGCAUUUUUA
rnacentral:lncRNA from 1 species